GCCCAUUACGAAACAACGGUUGGACGCUAAACGUCUUUCUGCUCGAAAUUCUCGAAUUCGUUUCUGUUCUUCAGGACGAAACCCGUUCCUGAAAAACGAAGGCUAGAUAGGCAGCGCACUUGGAUUGGAGACACUGCCUCGUUUCCCCGCAUCAGAUCAGUCAGCACUCGCUAAUGCUGGAGGAACUAGCUGUUAAAAAACCAGUUCUGCAACUUCAUGUGCCUCUGACACGAGCAGGUCACUCUUCAGCGCUCAUGUGUGGAGUUCACUCGGGAUCCGGGAGUGAACUUUGAGCUGCUUGUGUCUCUACUGGAGCUAAUGCUAGCCUGUUAGCUCCUAAUUUGUGUUUAUAAACCUCACCAAGUCAAGAUGAAGAUUACUGUGGAUUUCGAGGAAUGUCUCAAGGAUUCUCCCAGAUUCAGGGCAAUCAUCGAGGAGGCGGAGAGCGACGUCUGUGAGCUCGAGUCCAAACUAGACAAGCUGGUGAAACUGUGCAUUGGGAUGAUCGACGCUGGAAAGGCGUACAACACGGCCAACAGGCAGUUUGUGAGCGGGAUUCGGGAGUUGGCGCAGCAGUCUGCCAAAGAUGAUGUGAUCGAGUCCAGUCUGAACAAGUUUGCAGAGAAUCUUCAAGAGAUGAUCAACUAUCACUCAAUUUUAUUCGACCAAGCACAACGAUCAAUCAAAUCACAACUGCAGGCAUUCAUUCGAGAGGACCUUCGGAAAUUCAAAGAAGCGAAGAAACAGUUCGACAAAGUGAGCGAGGAGAAAGAGGCAGCCCUGUCCAAAAAUGCCCAGGCGCCUCGAAACAAACAGCACGAGGUGGAGGAGGCCAGCACCACCCUCAACGCCACGCGCAAGUGUUUCCGCCACAUCGUCCUGGACUAUGUCCUGCAGAUUAAUGUGCUGCAGUCCAAGAGACGAUCUGAAAUCCUCAAAUCGAUGCUGUCCUUCAUGUACGCCCACCUGACCUUCUUCCAUCAAGGUUAUGAUCUGUUCAGUGAACUACAACCCCUCAUGAAACAACUGACCGGACAGCUGGAUCAGCUGGUGGUCGACUCCGCAAAAGAGAGGAAAGAUAUGGAGAUGAAACACUCGACUAUACAGCAGAAGGACUUCUCAAAUGACGACACCAAGCUGGAGUACAAUGUGGAUGCAGAGAAUGGGAUCGUCAUGGAGGGAUAUCUGUUCAAGAGGGCCAGCAAUGCCUUCAAAACCUGGAACAGGCGGUGGUUCUCAAUUCAGAAUAAUCAGCUAGUGUACCAAAAGAAAUUUAAGGAUAACCCUACGGUUGUGGUGGAGGACUUGAGGUUAUGCACCGUCAAACACUGCGAGGACAUCGAGCGCAGAUUCUGCUUCGAAGUGGUUUCUCCAACAAAGAGCUGUAUGAUGCAAGCAGACUCUGAAAAACUCAGACAAGCCUGGAUCAAAGCCGUCCAAAACAGCAUCGCCACAGCCUUCAGAGACCGAGCAGAGGACGCAGAGAAGAUGGACGGGAAGUCGUCCACGUCGCCGGUCAGCCUGGACGCGGCCGGCGAGGUGAAGGAGAGGAGUCUGAAGGGCGAGAGCGCGCUGCAGAGGGUCAUGGCCAUCGGCGGGAACAGCGUCUGCUGUGACUGCGGCCAGCCGGAGCCGUGCUGGGCCAGCAUCAACCUGGGCAUCACGCUCUGCAUCCAGUGCUCGGGCAUACACAGGAGUCUCGGCGUUCAUUUCUCGAAGGUCAGGUCUCUGACGCUGGACACGUGGGAGCCUGAGCUGCUCAAGCUGAUGUGUGAGCUGGGAAAUGGUGUUAUCAAUCAGAUCUACGAGGCUCGGCGGGAAGAAUUAGGAGCCAGGAAACCACAACCGGGAGAUCCCAGGCACGAGGUGGAGGCCUACAUCAAAGCCAAGUACGUGGAGCGCAGGUUUGUGCGGAGACGCUCUGAAGACGAGAUCAGACAGAAGGUUUUAUCUCUGAGUCAACAGCACAAACGUCUCAGCGGCUGCUCUGCCAGAGCACCGUCAGCGUCUGCUUCCUCAGUGAACCACGAGUCUCUCUUCUGUGUAGAUGAGCUUGAUUCGCUCUUCUCCUACUUUAACUCCUCCGCCAGACCCUGCUGUCAUGGUCCAGAGCUGCACAUCUCCGAGCCUCAGGAGGAGGGCUGUGGGAGAGGUGUGGGGGUGUCCUCCGAGCCUCAAGAGGGGGCGUCCUGCGUGCCGUCGCCGGGCCUGCAGUUGUACUGGGCCUCUUUCUGCCGCAGUCUGCCGGACAUGGCCGAAGCUCUCGCUCAUGGAGCAGGAGUCAACUGGACCCACGCUGACGAACAGAACAGGACGCCGCUCAUAAUGGCUGUGCACGGGGGGUCUCUGGUCACGUGUGAGUUCCUGCUCCAGAAUUCAGCCAGUGUCAACCAGCAGGACAGUCUGGGCAGAGCACCUCUCCAUCACGCCACUAUCCGGGGCCACACCGGGCAAGUGUGUUUAUUUCUAAAACGGGGAGCCAAUCAGAGCGCAGCGGAUGUGGAGAAUCAGACGCCUCUUUCAAUCGCCGUCGAGGCAGCUAACGCUGAUAUUGUCACGCUGCUUCGGCUGGCCAAGAUGAACGAGGAGAUGCGUGAUUCAGAAGGUCUGUACAGUCAGUCAGGUCAAUAUAACUCUAACAGCCCGACUGAAAUACAGUAUCGGAAAUGUAUGGAAGAGUUCAUAAACUUACAGCUCAGAGACUCCUAACAUACGGCGAAAUCGCCACACACUGUAGAGAACGCACAAAACCAGCGAAUGUAUACCGAUAUCACAUGAAACGGAGCUUCUUUAGGCCCCGGGAUGGGUUCAUCUAGUCUAGUAUUUAACAAUGAUAGGACAUUGCUGCUGGAACAUGUGCAAUAACUCGACGUGAAAACAUGCACCUUGUUUGCAUUGUCUUAAAACUAGUGUAGUGAAAACUCAACCCAGUGUUCAUUCCUGAUAUUAAUCACUUCAUUAUUCUUGAAGAGGUCUGAAUCGAAGCAGUAUGUUUAGAAAUAUUACAUUUAUGAAGACGUAGUUCGUCUGUACAAUUCAGGAUUAGUUCUGCACUGUAUUCGACCAUAGAUAAUAUAUCAGUAAUUGUUACGAAUGCAUGUUUUGGUAAUGAUAGCAGUUUAAAAAAAGGCAUAUAUAUUGAAAAUCUAUUUUUGCCUUUUGAGUGUGUAUGUAUAUAUGUGUAUAUAUAUAUACAUAUUAUGUAGCAGCCAUUUUUUUGCAGAAUUCACAUUUAGCAUUAAUUAUAUACAUAUAUAAUGUUUUUUUUCUGUAAUAUUAUUAAAAUCUAAAAUCUAAAAUUUUUUUUUAAGUAUUUUCAUUUAUUAUGUAAAAAUAUAUAUUAUUUUUUAUAUAUAUUUAAAUGUUAUUGUCUGUAAAAUUGUAGUUUAUGUAGGAUUUUUUUGUGGAAUAGCUGAAAUAUUUUAAGUAAUCCGAUAAUUUAUGCAUAUUUCAAGGGAAAUGUGACAGUCAGAGUGUUGUAUUUUUUUAUAAUUUAAUUUGGCGUCGAUGAAUGUGCCGAAUCAUUAGCUAGAGUUGUGUGACUGUCUCGGGACACAGAGGGGCGCAGUAGAGCUGGACUUCACAGCUGCUCCUUCUGAAGACUUUCCUUGUGUCCCUCCUCGAUCUUCACUCCUCUUUCAAACGAAACCUUACAAUUCAACACUUCUCUGCUGCAACCUCUUUACAGAGCACAGUCUAUAAGCACAAUCUCAGGUUUAUUAUGCAAAUAAUAAAACAUGAAGGUGUUUACAAGGUCGUAAGUGAUGGAAUUAUAAGAUAUUUGUGAGCUGCUGCUUUUUCCUCUGUCACUGUUGAUCUCUCACGUAACUCAAAUCUUUGCUUCUUUUUUUUCCAUCACUUGACAGUAUUUCAUGCUAAAUAUCAAUGUUAAUAGUCAAUAAACGUACUUCAUAUGCAUCGUUUGGUGCCAUGUGCUUUUCUCCUCUUCUUUUCCUCCUCCUGUGAUCUCCUGCUGAGUUUCUGCUCUGAAGUAGCACAGGAGAUGAGACGUACCAGGACAUCUUCCAAGACUUCUCGCAGAUGGCAUCGAACGACCCUGACAAGCUCAACCGCUACUGAGCAGGUUCACACCACAACAACCUCCUUCUGAACUGCAGUUUGGGAUUGAUUUUUUUUUUAUUGCUAGGUUUUGUCUUAAUUGACGAUUUUUUUUUUUAUGAAAUCAAUGUCGUUGACACUUGCAUUUUUAUUGUAAUUGUAGAUUUAAUUGAUGAAUCCAUUGGCUGUAUCUAUACGGAUUAUCAGAUGAAUGUGUGUUAUGUAAUGUUUGAGCCGUAGGACUUCAUUUAUGAGACGUGCUGAAUGAAUUUGUGUUCGUAAAUGCCGUUGGUUUUUACAAACAGAUUAGUUCUGCUCGUGUUUAGCAAAUGAGGUGUUUUUAGCUAAAUAUUACGUUUUGGUAAACUGCAAUGGUGUCUGGUUGUAGAGCGAGGUUACAUAAUAUCAAUUAUGAAAACUAUUCUUUCAUUACGUUGUGUACUUGUUCGUUUUUGAAAGAGAAAAUCUUGUGAAAAUUGGUUUUAACAUGAACGCCCCACUUUCUUUAUUUGUCCAAACAGUAUAGAAGUGAAACCACGGUGUAAGGGGUGUAAAUUGUGUAUAUUCUGUACAUAUGUCAUCUUGGGCUGGGACAUUUUCGUUUUUUUUUUUUUUUGUGGUACUUCAAAUGUUGUAAUAAGCUUGAUUUGUUUUUUGUUUUUGUUUUUGUUUUUCCUGUAUUCAUUCUGUAAUCAUCUCUGUAUGAUCCAUGCAGUUUUUAAGAUUUUAUCCACUGCCAAUGUCUGACUGAAAAUAUAUUAUAAAUUGUUUAAGCUAUAA